rnacentral:lncRNA from 10 species
UAGCAUUCUUAUAAGAUCUGGUUGUUUGAAAGUGUGUAGCACCUACCCCUUGGCACUCUCUCUCUCCUACUGGUCAUGUGAAGAUGGUGCUUGCUUCCCCUUCACCUUCCACCAUCAAUGUAAGUUUCCUGAGGCCUCCCCAGGAGCAGAAGCCUGUAUAUCCCACAGAACCGUGAGCUAAUUAAACCACUUUUUAAAAUAAAUUACCCAGUUUUAGGUAUUUUUUAUAGCAGUGUGAGUACAGACUAAUACAGCACCCUCAGGAUCCCUGUUCUGAGAAAGAUGGAACUCCAGUCUGUCUGUAUUUGAGCAGAGUGCCUGCUCCAUCCAACCCUAUCUGACCUGAAAUUGCCUUAGCUGUUCAUGGAAAUGUGAAAUAAAAGCUGAUGCUGUUAAGCAAUCUAUAUAUUAGAGUUUUGCAAUAGCAGCUAGUGGCACCCUCAUUAACACAAGGAACAAACAUAUGAGUGCAAAGCUCAGACAAGGACCCAGAGCAGGACUGACAGAAACAAAAAAGUGCAUAAUGAGGCUUCUCUAGAAGGAGCCCUUCUGUUUUAAGGUGAUAUGGUUUGGAUCUGUGUCCACACCCAAAUAUCAUGUUCAGUUGUAAUCCCCACUGUUGGAUGUGGGGCCUGGUGGGAGGUGACUGGAUCAUGGGGGUGGGGCUCUCAUGAAUGGUUUAGUGCUAUUCCUCCUUGAUACUGUAUAAUGAGUGAGUUUUCAUGAGAUCUGGUUGUUUAAAAGUAUUUAGUACCUCCUCUCUCUCCCUCUUGAUGCUACUUUUGCCAUGUAAGAUGCAUGCUCUUGCUUUGCCUUCUGCCACGAGUAAAAGCUCCCUGAGACCUCCCCAGAAGCAGUUGCUGCCAUGCUUCCUGUACAGCCUGUGGAACCAUGAGCCAACUAAACCUCUUUUCUUUGUAAA